UCAGUCGGCCGGACGGCCGCUCCCGCUAUGGCCGAAAGGCUGCGGGAGAGGAAAGUCCGGGCUCCAUCGACAUACGGUGCCGGAUAACGUCCGGCGGGGGCGACCCCAGGGAUAGUGCCACAGAGAACGAACCGCCCGCCUUUGCCCUUCGGGACUUCGGCGCGGUAAGGGUGAAAAGGUGCGGUAAGAGCGCACCGCGCCGUCAGUAAUGGCGGUGGCAGGGCAAACCCCACACGGAGCAAGACCAAAUAGGGGAGGAGCGCGCCGAAUCCGACUUCCGCUUC
rnacentral:RNase_P_RNA from 1 species